CCUACGGGAGGCAGCAGUGGGGAAUUUUGGACAAUGGGCGCAAGCCUGAUCCAGCAAUGCCGCGUGAGUGAAGAAGGCCUUCGGGUUGUAAAGCUCUUUUGUCAGGGAAGAAACGGUGGAGGCUAAUAUCCUUUGCUAAUGACGGUACCUGAAGAAUAAGCACCGGCUAACUACGUGCCAGCAGCCGCGGUAAUACGUAGGGUGCAAGCGUUAAUCGGAAUUACUGGGCGUAAAGCGUGCGCAGGCGGUUUUGUAAGUUUGUCGUGAAAUCCCCGGGCUCAACCUGGGAAUGGCGAUGAAGACUGCAAGGCUAGAAUCUGGCAGAGGGGGGUAGAAUUCCACGUGUAGCAGUGAAAUGCGUAGAGAUGUGGAGGAACACCGAUGGCGAAGGCAGCCCCCUGGGUCAAGAUUGACGCUCAUGCACGAAAGCGUGGGGAGCAAACAGGAUUAGAUACCCUGGUAGUCCACGCCCUAAACGAUGUCUACUAGUUGUCGGGUUUUAAUUAACUUGGUAACGCAGCUAACGCGUGAAGUAGACCGCCUGGGGGUACGGUCGCAAGAUUAAAACUCAAAUGAAUUGACGG
rnacentral:rRNA from 1 species